CGGACGGGUGAGUAACACGUGGAUAACUUACCUAUAAGACUGGGAUAACUUCGGGAAACCGGAGCUAAUACCGGAUAAUAUAUUGAACCGCAUGGUUCAAUAGUGAAAGACGGUUUUGCUGUCACUUAUAGAUGGAUCCGCGCCGCAUUAGCUAGUUGGUAAGGUAACGGCUUACCAAGGCAACGAUGCGUAGCCGACCUGAGAGGGUGAUCGGCCACACUGGAACUGAGACACGGUCCAGACUCCUACGGGAGGCAGCAGCU
rnacentral:rRNA from 1 species